rnacentral:misc_RNA from 1 species
GAAAUGCGAUAAGUAAUGUGAAUUGCACAAUUCAGUGAAUCAUCGAAUCUUUGAACGCACAUUGCGCCCGCCAGUAUUCUGGCGGGCAUGCCUGUCCGAGCGUCAUUUCAACCAUCAAGCCCCCGGGCUUGUGUUGGGGACCUGCGGCUGCCCGCAGGCCCUGAAAACCAGUGGCGGGCUCGCUGUCACACCGAGCGUAGUAGCAAUCACCUCGCUCAGGGCGUGCUGCGGGUUCCGGCCGUUAAACAGCCUUACAAAACCCAAGGUUGACCUCGGAUCAGGUAGGAAGACCCGCUGAACUUAAGC